CCAGCAGGAGGGGAGGAACCCAAACACCUCAGGUGUUCCCUGAAUUCUGUUCAUCAGAUCUAGUAUUAUAUUAACAAAGGAGUGGUUAGACCAGAAAUAUUUUGUUUCAUGCUCUGUUACCUGCUUCUGAUGCUUUAACCAAUAUGAUGAUCAAGUCUACUAAUAAUGAGGCCUGCUAGUUGGAGAGAGAGAACUGAAAAUAUAAGAUAUGGCUCCUAAUAUGUUUGGAUGUUUGUGUCACCCGGAAAUUCCUAUGUUGAAAUCCUAACAUCCCAACCUGCAAAGAUGAUGGUUUUAGGAGGUGUGGACUUGGGGAACAGUUUAAAUCACAAAUGUGGAGCUCUCAUGAAUGGGAUUACUGCCUUACAAAAGAGGGUCCAGAGGUCCCUGGCCCCUCCCACUAUGUGAGGACACAAUGAGAUGUCUGUGACCCGGAAGGGGGCUCUCACCAGAUCUGACCGAGCUGGCAUCCUGACCUUCCAGCCUCCAGAACUCAGGCGGGUACAUAGAUGCGGCCCUGAGUCGGCUUCCACGAUGCAAAUAAGACCACAACCUUAUGGCAUGGCCAAACCCAAGUUCUCAGGCACGCAGUGAGAGAGAGAGAGGCAGAGACACAGGCAGAGGGAGAAGCAGGCUCCAUGCAC